GACGAACUGCCCAAACGUUGUUCGGAAUCACUGGGCUUAAAGGGCGCGUAGGCGGCAGAUCAAGUCAGGGGUGAAAUCCGGCAGCUCAACUGUCGAAGUGCCUUUGAUACUGAUUUGCUCGAGGGAGAUAGGGGUCUGUGGAACUUCUGGUGGAGCGGUGAAAUGCGUUGAUAUCAGAAGGAACGCCGGUGGCGAAAGCGACGGACUGGAUCUCUUCUGACGCUGAGGCGCGAAAGCUAGGGGAGCAAACGGG
rnacentral:rRNA from 1 species